rnacentral:rRNA from 1 species
GACGAACGCUGGCGGCGUGCUUAACACAUGCAAGUCGAACGGAAAGGCCCUGCUUUUGUGGGGUGCUCGAGUGGCGAACGGGUGAGUAACACGUGAGUAACCUGCCCUUGACUUUGGGAUAACUUCAGGAAACUGGGGCUAAUACCGGAUAGGAGCUCCUGCUGCAUGGUGGGGGUUGGAAAGUUUCGGCGGUUGGGGAUGGACUCGCGCCUUAUCAGCUUGUUGGUGGGGUAGUGGCUUACCAAGGCUUUGACGGGUAGCCGGCCUGGGAGGGUGACCGGCCACAUUGGGACUGAGAUGCGGCCCAGACUACUACGGGACGCAGCAGUGGGGAAUAUUGCACAAUGGGCGGAAGCCUGAUGCAGCCACGCCGCGUGCGGGAUGACGGCCUUCGGGUUGUAAACCGCUUUCGCCUGUGACGAAGCGUGAGUGACGGUAAUGGGUAAAGAAGCACCGGCUAACUACGUG